rnacentral:misc_RNA from 1 species
CACUUCUGGUCAGGGCGGGAGUCGGAGAGCGCGCCCGGCGCAGCAGCGAGACGUGUGUCUGUGGAUUUCGGGCUGCGAUGGCGAGUAGGGAGCUAUGUCUCCUACUUGUGCUGGAAGCCGUUUCGCGCGCUCAUUCUCUGUAACUGGAGGAGGAGGGGUGGCCUUUAGGGUUCGCCUUGAUCGGAGGGGUCCGGUUCCCGCGCUCCCGCCCGGGCCGCAUAAUCUCGCCCAGCACCUUUUCUUCCUUCUUGGUUAUGGCUUGACGAACCCUUAAGGACUCGUCGGCCAACGUUGUGGCACAUUCCUGAAAAGGACGAGGACCCUUUACCCGAGGGGAGUAAAGACAGUACUUGGAAGAUGACGGGUCUAGUCAUCCUUGCACAAGGAAAGCCUUCUGCGCGCUUUGGCGUCUGUACAUGUUGGGACUCCUCAGGCACUGAAAUACUGAAGUCCAGCUCAUUCUCAGUCUCUUGAAAACUGUGUUCACUGUUGGACAGUACUGGCACAGGUUCCGGUCCAUUAAAGGACCUCAACAAGUGGUGCCCAGAACAGGAGCUUGGUAUACAUAUGCAGAUUCGGAUGGAUGGAGUGACCCCAGGGCCCACUGAGACCGAGUGAAGCCAGACUUCCCGUCCUGCCAGCCUCACCCCUUCAGCAGCCGGUACGAGCAACAGCAGGGCGGUUACCCUCCUGGCUACAGCUCUGGCCGAGGGGCGGGUGGAAAUGGACCCAACCUUUAUUCUGCAUGUGAGACCUCUGGACACCCCUCUGAGACUUCGCUUCCACCCAAGAUCCAAAUCUCCACUUGAAUAUUGAGGAACUCAACAAAGAAUUUAUGGUGAAAAGUGAAGAGCUCUACCAAUCUCUCAUGAAUAGCCACUGGCAGCCUCUCGAUACGGUAUACUCAGAAAUCCCAGACAAGACCCCCCAAGAGCAAGAUGCUGAUUAAGCUACCAAUUAUCAUAUUCAUUGUGUCUUAUUUUGUUUUUGUUUAAAAAGUUCUCGCAGAAAGGCACUGGAUUGUGUGUAUAAAUACAGAUUCUUGAGGGAGUGUCAUGUAAAUAAACGUUGCCAGCACGUUCA